GACGAACGCUGGCGGCGUGCUUAACACAUGCAAGUCGAACGGAAAGGCCCUGCUUUUGUGGGGUGCUCGAGUGGCGAACGGGUGAGUAACACGUGAGUAACCUGCCCUUGACUUUGGGAUAACUUCAGGAAACUGGGGCUAAUACCGGAUAGGAGCUCCUGCUGCAUGGUGGGGGUUGGAAAGUUUCGGCGGUUGGGGAUGGACUCGCGGCUUAUCAGCUUGUUGGUGGGGUAGUGGCUUACCAAGGCUUUGACGGGUAGCCGGCCUGAGAGGGUGACCGGCAACAUUGGGAAGGAGAAACGGCCCAGCCUCCUGGGGGAGGCAGGGGGGGGGAAUAGGGCACAAGGGGGGGAAGCCGGAGCCAACCACGCCGGGGGGGGGAGGGCGGCCUGGGGGUUGGAAACCGCUUCCCCUGGGGAGGAGGGGGGAGGGAGGGGAAGGGGAAAAGAAGCCCCGGCUAACUACGUG
rnacentral:rRNA from 1 species